rnacentral:misc_RNA from 1 species
UCUCCGUAGGUGAACCUGCGGAAGGAUCAUUCAUAAUAAGUGUUUUAUGGCACUUUUUUAAUCCAUAUCCACCUUGUGUGCAAUGUCAGGGUUGAUUUUUCUCUCGAGAGGAUCAGCCCCAAACAUCAACUAUAUCUCAACUCUUUGUCUGAAAAAUAUUAUGAAUAAAACAAUUCAAAAUACAACUUUCAACAACGGAUCUCUUGGCUCCC